GGGGACGAAACUGGUUUCGACGGGGAUUUGGAAUUUGUAGUAGCAAGCCGUUGUUGAUCCUUCAACGUUAAAAAGAUCAAAAACAAUAAACGAUAAUAAUAAUUACGCGUUAGCAGCAUAAAUUAGCUGCUCAUCUCCUUUAAGAAUCCCACAGCUUUUAGAGAGGUGUCAAUUUCGUGGGGAACCGCAUACGGCUAAGCUUUGCACCGUAGACGGAAUCUAUGAAGCUACCUUUUUAGGAAGUCUCGUUAUUCAGACUCCUAUUGAGGGAAUAAAUAAAGAAUAACUGAGCUUGGAGAAACUACUUUGGAAAGAUUCUCGGACGCGAGUUCGACUCUCGCCGUCUCCACCA
rnacentral:tmRNA from 1 species